CAGCAGCCGCGGGAAAACGAAGGGGGCUAGCGUUGUUCGGAAUUACUGGGCGUAAAGCGCACGUAGGCGGAUAUUUAAGUCAGGGGUGAAAUCCCAGAGCUCAACUCUGGAACUGCCUUUGAUACUGGGUAUCUUGAGUAUGGAAGAGGUGAGUGGAAUUCCAAGUGUAGAGGUGAAAUUCGUAGAUAUUCGGAGGAACACCAGUGGCGAAGGCGGCUCACUGGUCCAUUACUGACGCUGAGGUGCGAAAGCGUGGGGAGCAAACAGGAUUAGAUACCCCCGUAGUCCCUGUCUCUUAUAA
rnacentral:rRNA from 1 species